rnacentral:tRNA from 2 species
GGCGGUGUAGCUCAGCGGUAGAGCAGUGUCUUCAUAAGGCAAAGGCCACAGGUUCGAAUCCUGUCACCGCUACCA